CGCAUCUGUGCAUGCAGCAUAUCAAUAAGCGGAGGAAAAGAAACUAACAAGGAUUCCCCUAGUAACGGCGAGUGAAGCGGGAAGAGCUCAAAUUUGAAAUCUUAAAGGGUUUCCCUUUACGAAUUGUAGUUUAAAGAAGUGUUUUCUGUUGAGGUUUUGGUAAAAGUUCUUUGGAAUAGGACAUCAUAGAGGGUGAGAAUCCCGUAUUUGACCUUUACUUUCAACUUUGUGAUACACUUUCAAAGAGUCGGAUUGCUUGGGAAUGCAGUCCAAAAUGGGUGGUAAAUUUCAUCUAAAGCUAAAUAUUGGCGAGAGACCGAUAGCGAACAAGUACCGUGAGGGAAAGAUGAAAAGAACUUUGAAAAGAGAGUUAAACAGUACGUGAAAUUGUCAAAAGGGAAGCGUUUGACACCAGUGUUGUUUUUCUGAAAAUCAAUUAAAGAACUGUUUAUGCUAAGUUGUUUAGACUUUAUCAGCUAACUGUUUAGUUUUGAGCUUUUCUUUAAUGCACUUUUCAGUUAACAAGUCAACAUCAAUUUCUUUUGCUGUAAAAAAGCUUGAGGAAGGUGGCUUGAGAUUCGUCUUAAGUGUUUAUAGCCUCUUGCCUAUGCAGUCGGAGAGAUUGAGGUCUGCAGCGUAGAUCCUUCGGGGCUAAAUGCAUUUGUGCUAAGUUAUAACAUUUUAUAGACAACUUGUUGACUAUGAUUUGUCUUGUAGCUUACUCGCUUAUGUUAUUUUACCUACGCUUAGGAUGUUGAACGCGCACAGAGUCUC
rnacentral:rRNA from 1 species